rnacentral:rRNA from 1 species
GACGAACGCUGGCGGCGUGCUUAACACAUGCAAGUCGAACGGUGAAGCGCUUGCCUUUUUGGUGGGUGUGGAUGAGUGGCGAACGGGUGAGUAACACGUGAGUAACCUGCCCUCUUCUUCUGGAUAACCUCAUGAAAGUGCGGCUAAUACGGGGUAUUCCGGGUCUGUCGCAUGGCGGGUUUGGGAAAGAUUGCGCCUUUGGGUGUGUUCGGUGGGGGAUGGGCUCGCGGCCUAUCAGCUUGUUGGUGGGGGGAUGGCCUACCAAGGCGGUGACGGGUAGCCUGCGUGGGAGGGUGGACAGCCUGGCUGGGACAGACGCACGGCACACCCUCGUGCGGCAGGAAGCGGUGGGCAUUCGUGCUGAACGGGCGCAUGCCGGAUGCAGCGCCGGCGCGUGAGGGAGGGCGGCCUUCGGUUAGAGAAUCUCUUUCGCGAGUGAAGAAGGCCUGCUCAUGUGUGGGUGGGUUGACGGUAGCUGGACAAGAAGCGACGGCUAACUACGUG